GAGCCGACCCUUCUGUGUUCAUUCUAUAGAAACCUUAACAACCAUACUUUGAGCCGACUUUCGUCCCAUCUCCUCCAUUUCAAACCUAAGCCUUCCCUCCAACAGCUUUAGAACUCCACAUCCCCUCAAGCCUAAGGACUCCCAUGGCACUGAAGAGCUCAGACUCCCAUGGAAAUAGAAAGAGAGCUGAUGAGAGUACAAAAGUGCAAUCUACACGCCGUUUAAAUUAGUAUUAUUGCUCACAUAUAAUGCUAUACUCGCUGAAUUAAUAUUAUAUUUGUGUUUUGGCACAGAUUGUCAUAAAUCAGAGAUAAAAUACACAUUGAGUGCAAAUUGACUUCAGAAGGAUGCCAACCCAAGCCGAGCCAUCUAUCUUCCACGAAGCACCUUCGAUCCAACAUCCCGUGCAUCCAUUUGAAUGAGUUCAUCACAGCCUUCCAGAGUUCUCCCACGUGCAGUCCAUGCAUCCGCAUCUCCUCCCUUCCCGAAUCAGCAUCCCGCGUCCAUUCCAAGCCGCAUCAAGCCUCCCGUUUCAGCCUCCCAGCAUCCCGUGAUUCACAUCCAGCCUUCCAUUUCUUGCCAUCAAGGUCCGCUCCAGCCCCGCAUCCAAAGAUCCCGCGACGCAUCCAAGCCUUCCGCGAUCUGCCCUCCUACAUCAUGCCAAAAGAUCAUGCGUCCGAGUGUCCCAUGGCCAGUCGGGAUGUGUAUUCAGCCCGUCACCCG
rnacentral:lncRNA from 1 species